rnacentral:rRNA from 1 species
GGUUAAGCGACUAAGCGUACACGGUGGAUGCCCUGGCAGUCAGAGGCGAUGAAGGACGUGCUAAUCUGCGAUAAGCGCCGGUAAGGUGAUAUGAACCGUUAUAACCGGCGAUUUCCGAAUGGGGAAACCCAGUGUGAUUCGUCACACUAUCAUUAACUGAAUCCAUAGGUUAAUGAGGCGAACCGGGGGAACUGAAACAUCUAAGUACCCCGAGGAAAAGAAAUCAACCGAGAUUCCCCCAGUAGCGGCGAGCGAACGGGGAGGAGCCCAGAGCCUGAAUCAGCAUGUGUGUUAGUGGAAGCGUCUGGAAAGGUGCGCGAUACAGGGUGACAGCCCCGUACACAAAAGCGCAUGUGCUGUGAGCUCGAUGAGUAGGGCGGGACACGUGGUAUCCUGUCUGAAUAUGGGGGGACCAUCCUCCAAGGCUAAAUACUCCUGACUGACCGAUAGUGAACCAGUACCGUGAGGGAAAGGCGAAAAGAACCCCGGCGAGGGGAGUGAAAAAGAACCUGAAACCGUGUACGUACAAGCAGUGGGAGCACAGGUUUACCUGUGUGACUGCGUACCUUUUGUAUAAUGGGUCAGCGACUUAUAUUCUGUAGCAAGGUUAACCGAAUAGGGGAGCCGGAGGGAAACCGAGUCUUAAUUGGGCGUUAAGUUGCAGGGUAUAGACCCGAAACCCGGUGAUCUAGCCAUGGGCAGGUUGAAGGUUGGGUAACACUAACUGGAGGACCGAACCGACUAAUGUUGAAAAAUUAGCGGAUGACCUGUGGCUGGGGGUGAAAGGCCAAUCAAACCGGGAGAUAGCUGGUUCUCCCCGAAAGCUAUUUAGGUAGCGCCUCGUGAAUUCAUCUCCGGGGGUAGAGCACUGUUUCGGCUAGGGGGCCAUCCCGGCUUACCAACCCGAUGCAAACUGCGAAUACCGGAGAAUGUUAUCACGGGAGACACACGGCGGGUGCUAACGUCCGUCGUGAAGAGGGAAACAACCCAGACCGCCAGCUAAGGUCCCAAAGUCAUGGUUAAGUGGGAAACGAUGUGGGAAGGCCCAGACAGCCAGGAUGUUGGCUUAGAAGCAGCCAUCAUUUAAAGAAAGCGUAAUAGCUCACUGGUCGAGUCGGCCUGCGCGGAAGAUGUAACGGGGCUAAACCAUGCACCGAAGCUGCGGCAGCGACGCUGAUGCGUUGUUGGGUAGGGGAGCGUUCUGUAAGCCUGCGAAGGUGACCUGUGAGGGUUGCUGGAGGUAUCAGAAGUGCGAAUGCUGACAUAAGUAACGAUAAAGCGGGUGAAAAGCCCGCUCGCCGGAAGACCAAGGGUUCCUGUCCAACGUUAAUCGGGGCAGGGUGAGUCGACCCCUAAGGCGAGGCCGAAAGGCGUAGUCGAUGGGAAACGGGUUAAUAUUCCCGUACUUGGUGUUACUGCGAAGGGGGGACGGAGAAGGCUAUGUUGGCCGGGCGACGGUUGUCCCGGUUUAAGCGUGUAGGUGUGUGUUCCAGGUAAAUCCGGUUCACUUUAACACUGAGGCGUGACGACGAGGCACUACGGUGCUGAAGCAACAAAUGCCCUGCUUCCAGGAAAAGCCUCUAAGCAUCAGGUAACACGAAAUCGUACCCCAAACCGACACAGGUGGUCAGGUAGAGAAUACCAAGGCGCUUGAGAGAACUCGGGUGAAGGAACUAGGCAAAAUGGUGCCGUAACUUCGGGAGAAGGCACGCUGACACGUAGGUGAAGUGAUUUACUCAUGGAGCUGAAGUCAGUCGAAGAUACCAGCUGGCUGCAACUGUUUAUUAAAAACACAGCACUGUGCAAACACGAAAGUGGACGUAUACGGUGUGACGCCUGCCCGGUGCCGGAAGGUUAAUUGAUGGGGUCAGCGCAAGCGAAGCUCCUGAUCGAAGCCCCGGUAAACGGCGGCCGUAACUAUAACGGUCCUAAGGUAGCGAAAUUCCUUGUCGGGUAAGUUCCGACCUGCACGAAUGGCGUAAUGAUGGCCAGGCUGUCUCCACCCGAGACUCAGUGAAAUUGAACUCGCUGUGAAGAUGCAGUGUACCCGCGGCAAGACGGAAAGACCCCGUGAACCUUUACUAUAGCUUGACACUGAACAUUGAGCCUUGAUGUGUAGGAUAGGUGGGAGGCUUUGAAGUGUGGACGCCAGUCUGCAUGGAGCCGACCUUGAAAUACCACCCUUUAAUGUUUGAUGUUCUAACGUGGACCCGUAAUCCGGGUUGCGGACAGUGUCUGGUGGGUAGUUUGACUGGGGCGGUCUCCUCCUAAAGAGUAACGGAGGAGCACGAAGGUUGGCUAAUCCUGGUCGGACAUCAGGAGGUUAGUGCAAUGGCAUAAGCCAGCUUGACUGCGAGCGUGACGGCGCGAGCAGGUGCGAAAGCAGGUCAUAGUGAUCCGGUGGUUCUGAAUGGAAGGGCCAUCGCUCAACGGAUAAAAGGUACUCCGGGGAUAACAGGCUGAUACCGCCCAAGAGUUCAUAUCGACGGCGGUGUUUGGCACCUCGAUGUCGGCUCAUCACAUCCUGGGGCUGAAGUAGGUCCCAAGGGUAUGGCUGUUCGCCAUUUAAAGUGGUACGCGAGCUGGGUUUAGAACGUCGUGAGACAGUUCGGUCCCUAUCUGCCGUGGGCGCUGGAGAACUGAGGGGGGCUGCUCCUAGUACGAGAGGACCGGAGUGGACGCAUCACUGGUGUUCGGGUUGUCAUGCCAAUGGCACUGCCCGGUAGCUAAAUGCGGAAGAGAUAAGUGCUGAAAGCAUCUAAGCACGAAACUUGCCCCGAGAUGAGUUCUCCCUGAGACUUAGAGUCUCCUGAAGGAACGUUGAAGACGACGACGUUGAUAGGCCGGGUGUGUAAGCGCAGCGAUGCGUUGAGCUAACCGGUACUAAUGAACCGUGAGGCUUAACCUU